AUAGCCGCAUUUGUGCUAAGGUAGCAUAAUCAUUUGUCUUUUAAAUGAAGACUAGAACAAAAGAUUAUACAUUUUAAAUUAUUUAUUCAUUUAAAUAAUCAAAAUUAUCUUAAAUGUAAAAAGACAUUUAUAAAAUAAAAAGACGACAAGACCCUAUUGAACUUAACUUAAGUUAAACUGGGGCAGUUAAUUAAUUAUUAUUUUAUAUUACAUACUAUUAUCAGUAUCCAUAUUAAUGAAUAAUUCAGUUACCAUAGGGAUAACAGCGCAAUUAUAUUUUCAAGUUCUCAUUUUAAAAAUAGAUUACGACCUCGAUGUUGAAUUAAUAACCUAAUAUAGGCAGUUUUAUAAAAAGGAAGUCUGUUCGACUUUUAAAAAAUUACAUGAUUUGAGUUCAGACCGGCGUAAGCCAGGUCAGUUUCUAUCUUAUACACAAUUCUUAACAGUACGAAAGGACCUUAAAAUAUAAUUAUAUUAAUUAUAUUAGCAGAUAAAUGCAUUAGAUUUAGAAUCUAAUUAAAUA
rnacentral:rRNA from 1 species